UUGAAAGGGAAACGAUUGAAGUCAGUCAUACCAACGGGAAAUCAACCUUUUGGGUAUGAAUUUUGGAGCUUAGAGUUUCAAAACCUUUGGGUUUCAUUAUUUGUGCUUUUUAGGCGUACUUUCUCGUACGGUAGAUUAACAUCGAUUUUGAACGUUAUAAAAUGACCGGAGGAAUGUAGCUUCGAUCUCGUAUUGAAGUGUUAUAGCCUUUGGUAGAUGUAGUGAUCAAGAUCGAGGAUUGCAACGAAUACCCUUUUGGGCUAUCCGUCUGAUCUCUGACACGUAGCCUUGGUAUCGAAAGCGUGCUUAUGAUAUUGAGGUAUACGAUCAAAAGGUUAGAACGCGAUUACAUUCGUUAAGGAUGUUGACGUA
rnacentral:rRNA from 1 species